CGCUGGCGGCAGGCCUAACACAUGCAAGUCGAACGGUAACAGGAAGCAGCUUGCUGCUUUGCUGACGAGUGGCGGACGGGUGAGUAAUGUCUGGGAAACUGCCUGAUGGAGGGGGAUAACUACUGGAAACGGUGGCUAAUACCGCAUAACGUCGCAAGACCAAAGAGGGGGACCUUCGGGCCUCUUGCCAUCAGAUGUGCCCAGAUGGGAUUAGCUAGUUGGUGAGGUAACGGCUCACCAAGGCGACGAUCCCUAGCUGGUCUGAGAGGAUGACCAGCCACACUGGAACUGAGACACGGUCCAGACUCCUACGGGAGGCAGCAGUGGGGAAUAUUGCACAAUGGGCGCAAGCCUGAUGCAGCCAUGCCGCGUGUAUGAAGAAGGCCUUCGGGUUGUAAAGUACUUUCAGCGGGGAGGAGGGUGUUGUGGUUAAUAACCACAGCAAUUGACGUUACCCGCAGAAGAAGCACCGGCUAACUCCGUGCCAGCAGCCGCGGUAAUACGGAGGGUGCAAGCGUUAAUCGGAAUUACUGGGCGUAAAGCGCACGCAGGCGGUCUGUCAAGUCGGAUGUGAAAUCCCCGGGCUCAACCUGGGAACUGCAUUCGAAACUGGCAGGCUUGAGUCUUGUAGAGGGGGGUAGAAUUCCAGGUGUAGCGGUGAAAUGCGUAGAGAUCUGGAGGAAUACCAGUGGCGAAGGCGGCCCCCUGGACAAAGACUGACGCUCAGGUGCGAAAGCGUGGGGAGCAAACAGGAUUAGAUACCCUGGUAGUCCACGCCGUAAACGAUGUCUACUUGGAGGUUGUGCCCUUGAGGCGUGGCUUCCGGAGCUAACGCGUUAAGUAGACCGCCUGGGGAGUACGGCCGCAAGGUUAAAACUCAAAUGAAUUGACGGGGGCCCGCACAAGCGGUGGAGCAUGUGGUUUAAUUCGAUGCAACGCGAAGAACCUUACCUGGUCUUGACAUCCACGGAAGUUUUCAGAGAUGAGAAUGUGCCUUCGGGAACCGUGAGACAGGUGCUGCAUGGCUGUCGUCAGCUCGUGUUGUGAAAUGUUGGGUUAAGUCCCGCAACGAGCGCAACCCUUAUCCUUUGUUGCCAGCGGUCCGGCCGGGAACUCAAAGGAGACUGCCAGUGAUAAACUGGAGGAAGGUGGGGAUGACGUCAAGUCAUCAUGGCCCUUACGACCAGGGCUACACACGUGCUACAAUGGCGCAUACAAAGAGAAGCGACCUCGCGAGAGCAAGCGGACCUCAUAAAGUGCGUCGUAGUCCGGAUUGGAGUCUGCAACUCGACUCCAUGAAGUCGGAAUCGCUAGUAAUCGUGGAUCAGAAUGCCACGGUGAAUACGUUCCCGGGCCUUGUACACACCGCCCGUCACACCAUGGGAGUGGGUUGCAAAAGAAGUAGGUAGCUUAACCUUCGGGAGGGCGCUUACCACUUUGUGAUUCAUGACUGGGGU
rnacentral:rRNA from 1 species